GGCACAUGACAGUAAAACAGCUAGUCUGGCUACCUGUUUCUGUCUAAAGAUAUCUGACUACAUCUCAUGCCUUAUGAAGCAUUGUCGUCAAUAAACCUGUGGACAAACUGAUCAUCGUCUCCAGAGUUUUGAUGAACGGAAGGUGUUUAUCUUACUGCCGAGUUAUAUUCUGAAUAUAUAACGAGGGCGGCAUACAGAUGUACCGUUCCAAAACCAGGGGUAUAAAGAUGGAGUUGGUCCUACCUUUGCUGCUAUAAUAAGCUGCACUCUUUUUGGAAGGUUUUUCACUAGAAUUUGGGGCGUGGCUGCUGGGGAUUUGUGUUCAUUCAGCCUCAAAAGCAUUAGUGAGCUCAGACACUGAUGAUGGAUGAGCAGGCCUGGUGUGCAUUCGGUGUUCCAGUUGAUCCCAAAGGUGUUCAGUGGCGUUGAGUUCAGUCAGGGCUCUAUGCAGGUCACACAAUUUCUUCACUCCAAACUUAACACACCAUGUCUUCAUGGAGUUAGCUCUGUUCACAGGAGCAUUGUCAUGCUGGAACAGGUUUGGGCCUCUUAGUUCCAGUGAAGGGAAAUUGUAAUACUACAGCAUACAGAGACAUUCUGUACAAUCCUAUGCUUUCACCCUUGUCAUAACAGUUUGGAGAAGGUCCUCAUGUGGUUGUGAUGGUCAGAUGUCUAUAUACAAAAUUUGUCAAAAUCGUGUAGUUACUGUAAAUAGAGAUAUUGUGGAUUAUGUUUGACAUAAGGGUAAUGUAUAAGAGUAUAAUAAACCUUUCAGUUUAUUUCUCAGACAAGAGCAAUGCAUUGAAGAGAAUGGUGAUACUUGCUGCUACUGCCACCACAGAUGCUACACUCACCCCGACCUACUCUGCAAUCCCUUUUUCCUGGUUGAUGUCCAUAUUGUUGUUCUGGUUGCAAAUGUUUGACCAGGAAGCACUACAUACCAAAUGGCAAAAAACCUUGAUAUGAUUCUGAUUUGAGUACAAGAUACAAGUCCAGAGAUCUUGAUUACAAUCAAAUUUGAAACCACAUACAAAUCUGGUUGGUUGUUAAAUUGUGCUUAUAUUAGAUGUUUAUUUUGAAAUAAAUACCUUUCUGUUUAUUAGCAAGUUCAGGAGCAUUCAUUGAUUAUCAAUUUUACAAAAGAAGGUGGAUGAGCCAGUAAUUCAGUGAUAUCCUAGGUCUUCUAGGUCAUGCCAUAAGAUACAAAAAUUAUUAAUCAAAAGCACAGCAUUGCAUUGGCUUUCUUCAACAUCCCUAAUUCCUAGUCUACUAAUAACAAGAAGGGGUUAAAUAGAAAGGCUGUUGACAUACUAUCUGUAACUACUUUAUGAUGUAGCUAUUUACAUGUGUGUGUAGGAUACAUGUCUUGCAAAAGUAUUCAUCCCCCUUGGUGUUUGUCCUGUUUUGUCACAAUACAAGCUGGAAUUAAAAUGGAUUUUUGAAGGGUG